rnacentral:rRNA from 1 species
GAUGAACGCUGGCGGCGUGCUUAACACAUGCAAGUCGAACGGAAAGGCCCAAGCUUGCUUGGGUACUCGAGUGGCGAACGGGUGAGUAACACGUGGGUGAUCUGCCCUGCACUUCGGGAUAAGCCUGGGAAACUGGGUCUAAUACCGGAUAGGACCACUUCUUGGAUGUUGUGGUGGAAAGUUUUUUCGGUGUGGGAUGAGCUCGCGGCCUAUCAGCUUGUUGGUGGGGUAAUGGCCUACCAAGGCGUCGACGGGUAGCCGGCCUGAGAGGGUGUACGGCCACAUUGGGACUGAGAUACGGCCCAGACUCCUACGGGAGGCAGCAGUGGGGAAUAUUGCACAAGGGGCGCAAGCCUGAUGCAGCGACGCCGCGUGGGGGAUGACGGCCUUCGGGUUGGAAACUCCUUUCGCUAGGGACGAAGCGUUUUGUGACGGUACCUGGAGAAGAAGCACCGGCUAACUACGUG